rnacentral:rRNA from 1 species
UAGGGAAUCUUCCGCAAUGGGCGAAAGCUUGACGGAGCAACGCCGCGUGAGUGAUGAAGGUCUUCGGAUCGUAAAACUCUGUUAUUAGGGAAGAACAAAUGUGUAAGUAACUAUGCACGUCUUGACGGUACCUAAUCAGAAAGCCACGGCUAACUACGUGCCAGCAGCCGCGGUAAUACGUAGGUGGCAAGCGUUAUCCGGAAUUAUUGGGCGUAAAGCGCGCGUAGGCGGUUUUUUAAGUCUGAUGUGAAAGCCCACGGCUCAACCGUGGAGGGUCAUUGGAAACGGGAAAACUUGAGUGCAGAAGAGGAAAGUGGAAUUCCAUGUGUAGCGGUGAAAUGCGCAGAGAUAUGGAGGAACACCAGUGGCGAAGGCGACUUUCUGGUCUGUAACUGACGCUUAUGUGCGAAAGCGUGGGGAUCAAACAGG